UCACCCCUCAAGCCCCGUGCUUGGUGUUGGAUGGCCGGUCGAGCGAUCGACCCCUCCGAAAGACAAUGACGGCGGCCUGUGGUUCCCCCGGUACACUGAGCUUCUUACCGAGCACGUACUGGACAAGGGCACCCGGGACCCGGUCCUCUCCUUUAGCUAGGAAACUUUUAAU
rnacentral:misc_RNA from 1 species